AGAGUUUGAUCCUGGCUCAGGAUGAACGCUAGCGGCGGGCUUAAUACAUGCAAGUCAAGGGGUAGCAAUACACCGGCGUACGGGUGCGUAACGCGUAUGGAACCUGCCCUUAUCUGGGGGAUAACUCGGGGAAACUCGAGCUAAUACCGCAUAAGAUAGUAAAGAGGCAUCUCUUAGCUAUUAAAGAUUUAUCGGAUAAGGAUGGCCAUGCGUAAGAUUAGAUAGUUGGCGAGGUAACGGCUCACCAAGUCUACGAUCUUUAGGGGCUCUGAGAGGAGAAUCCCCCANACUGGCACUGAGAUACGGGCCAGACUCCUACGGGAGGCAGCAGUAGGGAAUAUUGGGCAAUGGGCGGAAGCCUGACCCAGCCACGCCGCGUGCAGGAAGACGGCCCUCUGGGUUGUAAACUGCUUUUAACUGGGAAGAAAGCAGCUCAUGCGUGAGAAUUUGACGGUACCAGUUGAAUAAGCCACGGCUAACUACGUGCCAGCAGCCGCGGUAAUACGUAGGUGGCGAGCGUUAUCCGGAUUUAUUGGGUUUAAAGGGAGCGUAGGCGGCUGAUUAAGUCAGCGGUGAAAGGUAGCAGCUUAACUGUUUUACAUGCCGUUGAUACUGGUUAGCUUGAGUUGACAGAAGGCAGAUAGAAUUCCUGGUGUAGCGGUGAAAUGCUUAGAUACCAGGAGGAAUACCGAUUGCGAAGGCAGUCUGCUGCAGUCACACUGACGCUGAGGCUCGAAGGUGCGGGGAUCAAACAGGAUUAGAUACCCUGGUAGUCCGCACAGUAAACGAUGAUUACUAGAUGUUGGCCAAGCCAGUGUCCAAGGGAAACCGAUAAGUAAUCCACCUGGGGAGUACGCCGGCAACGGUGAAACUCAAAGGAAUUGACGG
rnacentral:rRNA from 1 species